UUGGAGGGCAAGUCUGGUGCCAGCAGCCGCGGUAAUUCCAGCUCCAAUAGCGUAUAUUAAAGUUGUUGCAGUUAAAAAGCUCGUAGUUGAAUUUCGGGAUCAAUAUGUCGGUCGUGCCUCGGUACGUACUGGCAUCAUUGGUUUCUCCCUUCUGAUGAACCAUAAUGCCAUUAAUUUGGUGUUGUGAGGAAUCAGGACUGUUACUUUGAAAAAAUUAGAGUGUUUAAAGCAGGCUCACGCUUGAAUACAUUAGCAUGGAAUAAUGAAAUAGGACGUUUGAUUCUAUUUUGUUGGUUUCUAGGAUCGACGUAAUGAUUAAUAGGGAUAGUUGGG
rnacentral:rRNA from 1 species